UUCUUCUCUAUACAAAUAAACUCACCAUAGAUACACAUGGUCCAUUUUUUAUCUUCAUGAUAUCAGUUGUUUUGUCUCUGAGAGAUACAGAUUGUUUGUAUGUCUGCUUAGAUUAUACAUUUUUGGAAACUCUGUUGAACCAAUUGGGGGAUAUUCAUUUUUUCAGAUGGAUCCUGAGCUUUUGUUCUACAAUAUUUCUGGUUUUAGCUGUUCUUUUGGUUUGAUGAUA
rnacentral:lncRNA from 1 species